GUGCUCCCUUUGGCAGCUCAUAUAAUAAAAUUAGAAUGAUACAGAGAUUAGUAUGGACCCUGCACAAGGAUGGGAGGCGAUUUUGUGAAGCAUUCCUUGUUUUU